rnacentral:lncRNA from 1 species
AUGUAUGGGCAAGGUGGUGGGGGCUGGUGAGGGGAGAUGUUCUUAAUCAUUCUUAUCCCUUGUCAAGGUUUUCCAUUCUGAGUCAAAGUCUAACCUUUUGUGUUUAUCUUUGCAGGGAUGCCAACAGGACUACUAUGAGGUGAAAUACAUAGUAACUUCCCCAUUUUAACUGCAAUUUUGGCCAGACUGCCAGGGAGUUGGGACAGCCAAGGAGAGUUUCCAAAGAUCAUAGGUCUUAAAGGGUCUUUGACUGCAUGUGAUACUUUUUUGCAUCUGCACAGGAACAAAAUCAUGUAUGUAAUACAUCUCCAGAGAGAGAGCAGGGCAGGAUGAAAACAGCCACAGGCUUCUCCAUAGAGGUUGUGCACCUUCAGAAUGUGCCAGGAAGAAGUACACAUUCAAAGAAUAUAAUUG